ACCAUGAAGAACCUUUGAGCUUAGGACCCCCAGUGGGAUGCUGGCAGCAAUAUUGCUGUUGGGCUGAGAGGGAAAUGUAAAAAUCUUUCACGAGCUUCCUGUUAACGAUGACUUUUCUGUAGGUUAGGGUUUCAACUCUGUGGCUGCAGCACCUGUCUGGAGCCUGUGGUGUGGUGGAUGAGGCUGUCCUGGUGUGUCCUGACCCGAGCUCACGUUCCCUCCAAACUUUGGCUCUGGAGACGGAAUGGGAGUUGAGACAGAUCCCACUGCAGUCUCUCGACUUAGAAUUUGGAAGUGGAUUCCAACCCCGGGUCCUGCCUACCCAGCCCAACCCAGUGGACGCUUCCCGGGCCCAGUUCUUCCUGCACUUGUCCCCAAGCCACUAUGCUCUGCUGCAGUACCAUUAUGGAACCCUGAGUUUGCUUAAAAACUUCCCACAGGUAACUGCAGGCAACAUGGUUUGCUAGGAUUCAGGAGAUCUCUCCAAGACAUGGAUGCUAGAAGGCAGUGCUUUUGAAUCUGGAAACGUUUGCUCUUAGGCCCAAGAUUGAUGACACCUUCCCAUAAGUGGUUUGAGAGGGGGUAGGUA
rnacentral:sRNA from 1 species